CCAAUCCUGUGCGGUAAGGUUUAGUCAACCACCGGAAGCGAGUCUUGCGUAGUAGGCAGUAAUGCCUGCACGAAGCGUAGACAGCGACUGCUGAGGGUGUGCUAUUGUUUGUAAUAUUAUCCUGUUAUAAGGAAUGUUUUACCAGUUUGUGAAUAUAAUACACUCUUAAUAUUGAACU
rnacentral:misc_RNA from 1 species